UACGGGGGGGGGUAAGCGUUGUUCGGAAUUACUGGGCGUAAAGGGCUCGUAGGCGGCCAACUAAGUCAGACGUGAAAUCCCUCAGCUUAACUGGGGAACUGCGUCUGAUACUGGAUGGCUUGGAUUUGGGAGAGGGAUGCGGAAUUCCAGGUGUAGCGGUGAAAUGCGUAGAUAUCUGGAGGAACACCGGUGGCGAAGGCGGCAUCCUGGACCAACAUUGACGCUGAGGAGCGAAAGCCAGGGGAGCAAAGCGGG
rnacentral:rRNA from 1 species